UGGCUGUACAGGUGCAUGUGCUGAGUCGCCAACAGACAUGUUGUGAAGUUAGCUGGCCCAUUACAGUUAUUACAGUCGUGGAUCUUCUGGAGGUUUCCCACACUCAGACCAUCUGGGUAUGAUGAGAUCAGCUGGCCCCUUGCCUCGAGAUGGUCUGGUUACAACCCUGGGAUUAGCAACAAGGGACCUCGGGUACAGAUGGCUCGCAUGAAGAUCGACUUGUUACAGCCUCGGCAGUUCAUAUGGAUGCCCUAUAGCGCAGUCGACGUCAUCCAGGUUGUCCAUCCUGAGGUGUUGGAGCC